CCAUAAGUCUCAAUAUUCCACCUUGCUUAACUUUUUAUAUGAGCUUCAAAUGAGAAACGUGUAUUCACGAAAGUUGUAGCUCUCUCAAAGGCCUUCAAAAUGGUCACCAAUUUCAUGUCAUUUGGAUUUUAAAUGAUAGAGUUAUUCAUUUUUUAUGUUUGGAAAAUCAUUUGAUCAAUGGUAUAGGUCAAAAGUGACCUAUAAUGUACCUUUAUAUCACAUGCUCAAAAAAGUUG
rnacentral:lncRNA from 1 species